GGAGGGGUGCCACAAUUGGUACUGGGCUGGUCUUGAAAACCAGUGAUGGACGAAAGUCCACUGAGGGUUCGAGUCCCUCCCCCUCCG
rnacentral:tRNA from 1 species